CGAAGCAAUCUAACGGAAGUUUUCGGAUGGAAGUUAAAUUGACUGAGUGGCGGACGGGUGAGUAACGCGUGGGUAACCUGCCUCACACUGGGGGACAACAGUUAGAAAUGACUGCUAAUACCGCAUAAGCGCACAGGACCGCAUGGUCCGGUGUGAAAAACUCCGGUGGUGUGAGAUGGACCCGCGUUUGAUUAGCUAGUUGGUGGGGUAACGGCCUACCAAGGCGACGAUCAAUAGCCGACCUGAGAGGGUGACCGGCCACAUUGGGACUGAGACACGGCCCAAACUCCUACGGGAGGCAGCAGUGGGGAAUAUUGCACAAUGGGGGAAACCCUGAUGCAGCGACGCCGCGUGAGUGAAGAAGUAUUUCGGUAUGUAAAGCUCUAUCAGCAGGGAAGAAAAUGACGGUACCUGACUAAGAAGCCCCGGCUAACUACGUGCCAGCAGCCGCGGUAAUACGUAGGGGGCAAGCGUUAUCCGGAUUUACUGGGUGUAAAGGGAGCGUA
rnacentral:rRNA from 1 species